GUCGGUGUAGUAUAGUGGUAGUACGCCGCGUUGUGGGAAGUCCUCCGACUGCUUGCAAAUCCGCGUUGACGCUGGUUCGAUUCCAGCCACCGACA